rnacentral:rRNA from 1 species
AUGAACGCUGGCGGCGUGCCUAAUACAUGCAAGUCGAGCGAACGGACGAGAAGCUUGCUUCUCUGAUGUUAGCGGCGGACGGGUGAGUAACACGUGGAUAACCUACCUAUAAGACUGGGAUAACUUCGGGAAACCGGAGCUAAUACCGGAUAAUAUUUUGAACCGCAUGGUUCAAAAGUGAAAGACGGUCUUGCUGUCACUUAUAGAUGGAUCCGCGCUGCAUUAGCUAGUUGGUAAGGUAACGGCUUACCAAGGCAACGAUGCAUAGCCGACCUGAGAGGGUGAUCGGCCACACUGGAACUGAGACACGGUCCAGACUCCUACGGGAGGCAGCAGUAGGGAAUCUUCCGCAAAGGGCGAAAGCCUGACGGAGCAACGCCGCGUGAGUGAUGAAGGUCUUCGGACCGUAAAACUCUGUUAUUAGGGAAGAACAUAUGUGUAAGUAACUGUGCACAUCUUGACGGUACCUAAUCAGAAAGCCACGGCUAACUACGUG